rnacentral:rRNA from 1 species
GACGAACGCUGGCGGCGUGCUUAACACAUGCAAGUCGAACGGAAAGGCCCUGCUUGCAGGGCACUCGAGUGGCGAACGGGUGAGUAACACGCGGGUGAUCUGCCCUGCACUUCGGGAUAAGCCUGGGAAACUGGCCCUAAUACCGGACAGGUGCUAUUUUUAGUGUGAUGGUUGGAAAGUUUUUUCGGUGUAGGAUGAGCUCUCGGCCUAUCAGCUUGCUGGUGGGGUAAUGGCCUACCAAGGCGGCGACGGGUAGCCGGCCUGAGAGGGUGGACGGCCGCAUUGGGGCUUGGAUACGGCCCAGACUCCUACGGGAGGCAGCAGGGGGGAAUAUUGCCCAAUGGGCGCCGGCCUGAUGCAGAGACGCCGCGUGGGGGAUAACGGCCUUCGGGUUGUAAACUCCUUUCGCUAGGGACGAAGCUUUUUGUGACGGUACCUAGAUAAGAAGCACCGGCUAACUACGUG